UAGGGAAUAUUGGGCAAUGGAGGGAACUCUGACCCAGCCAUGCCGCGUGCAGGAUGAAGGCGUUAUGCGUUGUAAACUGCUUUUAUAUAGGAAGAAAUAGUCCUUGCGAGGAAAGUUGACGGUACUAUAUGAAUAAGCACCGGCUAACUCCGUGCCAGCAGCCGCGGUAAGACGUAGGAUGCAAGCGUUGUCCGGAUUUAUUGGGCGUAAAGAGUUCGUAGGCGGUUAUUUAAGUCUGAUGUUAAAUACUGUGGCCCAACCACAGAACUGCAUUGGAUACUGGAUGACUUGAGUGCGGUAGAGGCAAGUGGAAUUCCCAGUGUAGCGGUGAAAUGCGUAGAUAUUGGGAAGAACACCAGUGGCGUAAGCGACUUGCUGGCCCGUAACUGACGCUGAGGAACGAAAGCCAGGGGAGCGAAUGGGAUUAGAUACCCACGUAGUCCCUGAGCGGGC
rnacentral:rRNA from 1 species